rnacentral:rRNA from 1 species
UACGUAGGGGGCAAGCGUUGUUCGGAAUUACUGGGCGUAAAGGCGCGUAGGCGGCCUGUUAAGUCGAACGUGAAAUCCCCGGGCUCAACCCGGGAACUGCGUCCGAUACUGGAAGGCUUGAAUCCGGGAGAGGGAGUGCGGAAUUCCAGGUGUAGCGGUGAAAUGCGUAGAUAUCGGAGGAACACCGGUGGCGAAGGCGGCGAUCCUGGACCGGCAGUUG